UUAAUCUUUCGAUGAAUAGGAAGCAGAUUUCACUGCCACAUGUUCAAAUGGCUUUCCAGACACACAAUCAUUCUGGGGACAGAUGUGAUAAUGAGCCCAGGCCAGGAGUGCUGUAAUGCAAUAUGUGUGAACAAUGCCUCGUACUUACAUCUGCAGGGACCCUAUAUCCUCGCUUCACAAAUUUCUAAAAGAUAAGAAUAGGGUGGGUAUUGAAUCCAUUUUUUCCAAUAAACUUCUAAGAGGACCCAAUCACCAAUAUUUUAGAUCUUGAUUUAACUUCUAAGAGAACCCAACCACCAAUAUCUUGGAUUCUGUUCUCCAAGGUGUAGUUUACAUCCGUAGAGCAGGCAUGCAUAAUCAAAUCCUACCCAUUGUCCCAAAACACAGCAAAUUUAUUGUUUUGCCCUUCUUGGAUUUGCAAUAUCAACACAACCAUCUGUUGUUUCAGUGCUCCAUAUGUGCACGCAGGCGACACUAACGCAAUUAUAUAGAUGGACAGGAGAGUUUUCUUUCAUAUGGAUGACCUGUUUUUUUUUUAACUUAAUAAAAAGUAAGGGAUGUCGUUAGGAUGUUAGGUACCACUUUUUUUUUAUUUUUUUUUUUAGACCAAUAAGUAUUCCCUCUUGAGUACUCACCAAUACCAAGGACCUAUAACAUUAAUUCUUUUGGUACAUCAAAUUUCAAUCAACAGAGUGACAGAUAUUUGCGACCAAAGAAUUUUCUUUCUUUCUAAAUCGCAUGAUGAUUCCCCAACCAACUGAAAUGUAUACAGUAGUUCCAACUACUGGCUAGAAGGACUUACUCAAUGGCAGUUUUUGGGGGGAGGGGCUUUAAUUACCUGGCGUCAUCACCCUCCAGGAGUACCUCUCCAUCCAUCCGUUUUCUGUACCACUUAUCCUCACAAGGGUCACAGGCAUGGUAGAGCCUAUCCCAGCUAUCUUCUGACGAGAGGCAGGGUACACCCUGAACUGGUCGCAGGGCAUAUAUAAGCAAACAACCAUUUGCAGGGUGCAGGUGGAGACAGGCUUCAAAUCAAAAUCAAAAGCCUUUAUAUGCUGUGCAUACACUGAAAUGAUGAGUACUUCUCCACAAGGUCCAAGGUGCAAUAAAUAGAAUAAAAAUCGAAGAACAUGUGAGAUAAAAACAACAGAUAAAAAAACAUCAAGGCACAGUUAUUGCUAAAAUAAAUGCACGAAAGUGCAGUUGCAUAAUAUUCCAUUACACACAAAUGAUAAACAAAUGUAACUAAUAUUUCAUUUAAAAAAGUGCACAUUUUCUUUGGAAUCCGAAUGCCUCCCAUGUCUGUUUCAAACCGAGGCUCUGUCGAAGCUGCUUCCAUGUGACGUCACACAACGACAGGCCCAGUAAAGAAAGACAAAGACAACCAUACAUGCUGCGUGUGAGUUCUCGAGGAGAUAGACAGCAGUGAUGAAGAGGUUUCUAUGGAAUGCUCUGUGAAAAAAAUAGGAACUGAAAGGAGGAAUCUUCUCAUGCUUCCCAUGUUCGAAAAACAGGUGUAAUUCAACCUUACAUGGUCGAACCGGAGCGGACGAACGCAACACAAGUACAGGAUUCAGCGAGACCUACGUGGAAGUUGAAGUUGUGAAACUUUGCACCCAAAACAUAGACUGGCGUAAACGGGGAAAUCGCCAGCCAACGCCUUCCCAGAGAGAAUGCCGCUGCUGUAAGGAAAUUACAGAAACCGACCGGAAGUUGGAUGGAACCGCCUUGGCUUGCAUUGUUAACCAUGAAGGCUUUCACCCAGUCUGCCUCAACCCAUUUGUAUUGGAGACAGCCUGGCAUGUCUUUCAAUAACAUUAUGGCAGAAACGCCUUCACAGGAGAAGGACAUGAAAGAAAUCGCCACGUGGGCUAUAGACAGUUGGUGAGGUGGUGUUGGGGGCCUCUCGGCAAGAGCAACAGGGUUGUUAUACCAUCAUGUGCUGUGCAGAGAAUCCGAGCAGAAUUUCCACCCCCAUGAUUUGGAGAUGAUGCUGGGUUCACAGGAUUUAUGCCCAGUUGAUGAACAUUAUUACCCUUUUCUUUGUAUGAAAACUUAAGUGUGGGUGUUGAUCCUUGACUAAUAAUUGAUGGACAUUACUGUAAUUAUGUGACAGUUUUGACUGUAAAAUAUUUUUUGUUAUUCGGAUUCAAAAUUUUACCUUUCAAGUUGACUCUAAUAAGAGUAAGCAAACUGGUUGAAGAAUUUGUAAUAUCAUCUAUAAGUAUCACAGCACUAAAAAGUUUCUAAACCGUUAUUUUUUUACACAUCACUGAAGGUAGAAUUUAGUUUCAGUUUAACAAACCGGACACAGUUUUUAAAUCGGCUUCUUCAAAUUUGUAUUCAUUUUCACAACAUAUUUCAACAGCUUUGAUUUGAAAAUCUUGAAAAAUGAUCCCAAAUAGCCAAAUCUUUGCUUGGUUUUGUGUACUGGCUGCUGAGAGGUGGUGGUGCUUGGGCGUCAGCAGAAGAAGUCGUUAGGCUCACAUCCACAUAGAGGGUCCGGAGCUCUUCUAACAGGCGUUCCACAUACCCUGAAACAUUGAAAUUAUAUUAUUUCAUACAUAUGAAGAUACUGCUGUCCUGGUUUAUUCCUUCAACCUAUAGGUUGAAUGUGCAAGUGAUAAGCCUCAUAGUGAAAGUCUUUGUGAAAACUAGGUUACUUCCCUUGUGGGCGUUCAAAGUUAUUAUACUUCCGUGGACGAAUGAUUGGCUAUGUCAAAUUUUCGUCAAACUGUUCCAGUGGUCCUGACAUAAACUUUACGUCGUAAAUGUUUUUAUUUUACAAUUGUACUAUGUCCUCUUUGUGACGUAUAAAACUGAGCAGUGAGGAAGAAUAACCAAUGACGUAAUUUAAAGCAGUCCUCCGUGAAAUGCUUGGAACAAAUUACUGUCCACUUUGAUUUGUAAGUCCAAUGCGCCCGCUUUGUCUUCACAAACCUGGUCCAUAACCUGCCCAUCCGUUCAUCUUUUGGCCAUUCUUGUAAGCUGACUCCAUCAGCGUUUGAUGCCGAAGAGCCGUAUUCAACACACUUCCUCACCAUCUUGGCUAGCAAGCUCUGGCUAAAUAUUGUCUUGGUAUAAUGUCACCUUCCGGAGAGAACCGGAACUUGGCGAAUCUAAGCGACAUUUUGAACAAAAUCUCGAGAGUGACUUUGAUGCUAAUUUAUUUCAUUUCUGUUGUAUUUAGAAUUUUUUAAAAUAUCUUUGAAGUGCCUGGACUCGCCGAAGAUGAAUCGGAGGAGCUGCCACCGCCUGCAUCUGUAUGUUGGAAAGUGGGGGUUGGAAACCAUAGCAAGCCAUGACCGGAGACCUACCGGUGGAAAAGCUUAGAAGGAGUUGUGUACGAAUUUAAUCCACAACAGGAAUAUGCUCCAUGAGGAGGGGUUAUGGGCGGUCACACAGCGGAGAGCCGACUCCAGGGAUUGAUUAGCCUGCUCCUGUUCUUGUUGGUCCACAGGUGGUACCCUGAAGAUAAACUGGCCACAGUGCCCACCGCCCUGCAGAAUACCUUCCAGACCUGUAAAGAGAAACAUGCAAGACCAUGAGGUUAGCAGUAUCCACAGCGGACAGGAGUUUGCAAUGGACGUAAAGUUGUGGACACAUUUGAAAAAGUGGUCAACUACAAUGUUACCUACUGAAGGAGGCUAGCUAGAAAUGAAGUCCACAGCAAUGUGAGACCAAGUGUGGAUGGGAAUUGGUAAUGGGUGCAGCAGGCCAGCUGGGGCCCGGUGUGAAGACUUCCUUUGGGCAUAGAUGGAGUAACAAAUUUAUAGGUGUCUUUUAUGAGGCUGGGACACUAAAAGUGAGUUGGAUGAAUUGAGUAGUCCGGGUGGUGCUAGGGUGACAAGUUAGCUUGGAGUUGUGGGCCUAGAGCAGAACUUCCGAACGUGCAGAAUCUGAUAUGAACAGGUGGUCAGCAGGCCUGGUCUUGAGAUCAGAUUGGUUUUUUUUGAGCCUCCUAGACCACCUGCUUGAUCUUCCACAUGGUACCUCCCAUAAAACACGUGAAUAUAAGAAUAGGUUUAGCUUCUGCUGAACUCGAGGGUGGUGAGUCGGCAAAGAAUAGGGGAUCAGUCUUAUUUUAUGGGAACCAGGAUGGAAGGAAAGACUGAAGUUGAACCUACUUGUCAGGCGCAUGGCCAAGCCACAGCCCUGGGCCGAGGUGGCUCUGGCAGUUGCCCCACACCUGCGCAGCAUGAACGUGAAUAAGGCCCGGCAUAUAAACCCUUGAGUCUGUCUCUUUCAGGCGCCCGUUUGUUGUGUGUGACACUGCAUCAUCGUGUGUGAGUACGCAAGCAUAUUGUAGGGCGUCCCCCUCGUUACAGCAUUCCUGUGCCACUAUUGUUAAGUCUGGUUUUGUUCAUGUUCCAAGUUUUUGCCUCAUACUUAUCAGACCUUGUUUCAUGAUUAUUGGACUUUGAUUUUUUGCCACGUGUUUUUGUGCUUCUGCCUUUUUGGACUGCUUACUCGUGUAUGACCUCUGCCUGAAUUAAACUACACUUGCAAAUCA